rnacentral:rRNA from 1 species
GUCGAACGAGUUCUCGUUGAUGAUCGGUGCUUGCACCGAGAUUCAACAUGGAACGAGUGGCGGACGGGUGAGUAACACGUGGGUAACCUGCCCUUAAGUGGGGGAUAACAUUUGGAAACAGAUGCUAAUACCGCAUAGAUCCAAGAACCGCAUGGUUCUUGGCUGAAAGAUGGCGUAAGCUAUCGCUUUUGGAUGGACCCGCGGCGUAUUAGCUAGUUGGUGAGGUGAUGGCUCACCAAGGCGAUGAUACGUAGCCGAACUGAGAGGUUGAUCGGCCACAUUGGGACUGAGACACGGCCCAAACUCCUACGGGAGGCAGCAGUAGGGAAUCUUCCACAAUGGACGCAAGUCUGAUGGAGCAACGCCGCGUGAGUGAAGAAGGCUUUCGGGUCGUAAAACUCUGUUGUUGGAGAAGAAUGGUCGGCAGAGUAACUGUUGUCGGCGUGACGGUAUCCAACCAGAAAGCCACGGCUAACUACGUGCCAGCAGCCGCGGUAAUACGUAGGUGGCAAGCGUUAUCCGGAUUUAUUGGGCGUAAAGCGAGCGCAGGCGGUUUUUUAAGUCUGAUGUGAAAGCCCUCGGCUUAACCGAGGAAGCGCAUCGGAAACUGGGAAACUUGAGUGCAGAAGAGGACAGUGGAACUCCAUGUGUAGCGGUGAAAUGCGUAGAUAUAUGGAAGAACACCAGUGGCGAAGGCGGCUGUCUGGUCUGUAACUGACGCUGAGGCUCGAAAGCAUGGGUAGCGAACAGGAUUAGAUACCCUGGUAGUCCAUGCCGUAAACGAUGAAUGCUAGGUGUUGGAGGGUUUCCGCCCUUCAGUGCCGCAGCUAACGCAUUAAG